AGAAGUGGGAUGUAGCCCACGAAAGCUUAUGCUCUAAUAAAUCUGUUAGUCUCUAAGGUGCCACAAGUACUCCUGUUCUUUUUGUGAAACCUCAUGCUGCAGCUUGCUGUAAAUGGCGGCAGAAUCACAUCCAUAUUUUGCACCAGAUCAUCUGACUGUCUCUGGAGACGGGGAAAGGAAAUGGCUGCAGUAGAGCUGGCAAGCUGCAUCCUCUGGGAAUACUCACCCCGGUCUCAGAGAUGGAGCAAUGUCUCAUGACUCAGCUCUGCCUAUGUCCCCAACAGCCAGAUUUUCAAAUGUGCUUCACCUCCAUCUUGCUCAUGUUCCACCCCAGCUGUAUUAGCAGCAGGCCACAGAUGUUCUCGACUCUUCUGGCUGUCAGGGUGUCAAGGCUGUAUCCCCACUUUGAACUUUAGGGUACAAAUGUAGGGGCCUGCAUGAAAACUUCUA